AUCGCCUAGAUUAAGAACUUCAGUUGCACCCUGACUUCAUCCACCGCAUCGCCAAGAAUGGCCCACACACCGCACCGUCUGCGUACGCCUGCGUCCUUAAGAACUCCCAAUUUCCCCCAAGUCUGCGAAAGGUAAACAAACUCCGGAGCCGCCUUUGGGCAAUUUUUUGUAACGGAAGUGGAGAGACCGACGAGGAGGCGGCGGCUGUGGUGCCGCGGCCAGACCCAAGGUCCCUCGGAGCGUGUCCACACGUCUUCGCCAGCAGAGACCACCGGCGAGCUGUCCGGUCCGCGCCUCCGCGCCCAACGGCCAGCCCGGGAGACCCCAGCUCGCGGCCUCCGACGCGCACCUCCGGAGAACAGUGAAAAUAUCACUUCAGAUGGAAUCUUAAUGGAAAGCCAGAAAUGAAUGGAAACAAUAAUAGCAGAGCUGCUUUGGAUGCUAAGAGCUGUCAUCAGAGUUUCCAAGAAUUAAUGGCAUUGCCCAUAGGAUUCACAACCACUGUCCUGGGGGAUGUGGGCCAAAGAAGACUGGGUUUGGACCUGGCCAUUCGGCUCCAGAGCCCCUUUGGACAAAUGAGGAUUCCAGAGACUUGAGUCCAGCCAACUUUCUCUUUCCACUCAGAAGACUCAUCUAGUAGUGCUUUUUCAACUUUUAAGUGUGAGAAAAAUGAAGGAACUGGAGACUUCUGUUUCUACUCAGUAGCUGUAAUAAGAAAUCUGCAUAUUGGACUUGCAUCUUGAGAGGUUUCAGUGAAAAGCCUUUAACUGAUGGUAAUUUGUGAGUUGGAAAAAAAAAACUUUGCUCAUCUGACAAGAACAUUUGUCGAAAAAUGUGAUGCUGCUCUUAGACAACACUGUUGCCUGGCUGGACAGCAGAAUUCAAGAGGAAAACCUGUAGAAAUUAUCCUCCACCACCAACCACCGCUCUCCAUCAUCUGGAUCCUAUUUUUAGGGGCAAGGCAGUGAGUAAAUUCAGUUGGGCAUUAGAACUGUCAGGUGAAUUCAGGUCUCUUUUAUUAUCAGUGUAUGGAGUAUUUAAGAUGCCUUUACUGGAUAUAGGGCUUUGCCUUGAAAUAGUUUCAAUAGACUUUUUUUGUUAAUGUAUGUAAACUCACCAAAUCAUUACUCAGCAAAAUAAAAUAAUUUAUUUCUUGAAAGAAUGGCCAUCCCUUUAUCUCUCCAGUCCUAGUAACCAACACACAGGUAAGCAGUCCCUUAAUAAUUGUUUGCUGAAUGAGUGAAGGAUUGAAUGCAGAGUGAAAAGAGAAAGACAUGUAACUGCUUUGUGACUUCUUUACAAACACAUCUAAAGAAGCACCAUUUGUUUGAUUCUCAUUACUUCUCCCAAAUGUCGCUUGUAAAGCCUUCAUGGAUUUAUAUUAUUAUUUUCAUAUAACAUUUUGCAAAUUUUUUUAAAAUU